GGGCCUUACUGAAUUAUAGUUAUGAUGAUAGACAACCUUUCUCUGGUUUGUUGAUAGCAUGAAAUAAACACAGCCUAAAAGAUCUAAUUUUUGGGAAAUUUACUAACAUAGCCUGGAAGUUUUUUCUAAUUGUUUGUUUGAGCUGCCACUUUAAUGUUCAUUUUAAUUUCCAUGUAGGUAGAUUCGGCUUUGGUGCUCCUUCGAAACAUAAUUUCACAUGUGAGUGCUUAAACGUGUAUCCAUUUAGACUCUGUUCUCACACUUCAUUUGCAUUAUCCUUUUUUCUAAGCAAUUAUGUGAUGCCUUCUAUAAUCGAUUCCAUUUACAAAAAUGUACAUGCUUUUAUUCUGAAAGUGUUUUUAUGGCACCUAUUCUUCUUCCAGGAUUUAAUAAACGCAUGUGUCAUCAUACCUCAAGAUAUGUGUGAUCUUAGGUUAUUUAAAAGAAUGCCAUCAGUGUAAGUGCAUUUUACUUUGAUUACAUGUCAGUGGAAACAAAUUCCUUUUAAUUCUCCAUGCUUCCUUUUGUGCUUUCAGGUUUCUAAUGCCCAUUGCAUCAUAACCUUGAGUCUUUUGGUUUCCUAGUGGUUUUUGGCUCUCUCUCUCUAUCUCCAACCACUUAUAUAGUCUUUUGCUUAUUUUUCUUCCUUCCCAUCGUUGUCCACUUGUCCUGCAAGAAAGGGAUUUUUUUAUAAAAAAUGAACAGUUCGUAAUUAUUUUUAUUGGGGUGGGGAGAGUUCUUUUCUUGUGCUAAAAUGUUAUUUCUAAUAGAUGCUUCAUAACACUUCCAUUGUGUGUGUACUUAAAACUGUGUUUCCAUCUACACUAUAAGAAUUAGCUUAUUAUAAAGGUAUUCUUUUGGUUCCUUUUUUAAAUUCCUCAGAUUCCAUUCUGCCGCUUAAAAAAAAAAAACAUUGAUAAUAAUCUAUCAAUUUUGUAAUACAUUGACAUUCAAGUUGGAUUUUUAUAAUGUUAUCAUGGCCUAAUGGGAUUCCAGAAAUUGAUUACUAGUAACUAAUUAUGAUGUCAUAUUUAUGGGAUUCAAAUUUUCUUUAUGCUUGAGCCCCUGAAAUUUUCUGUAAAAGCAUGAAUCCGUGAGCCAUUGGAUUCAUCUUUUUAAAUGCAUCGGGCACUCUUGGAGUCCGUGGGAUCUAGUGGAUCUACUGGGCCUGAAGCUGUUUGCUGCUGCAGAAAAGAAUGCGGUUUUAUGGAUAGCAAGAGCUGGUUCCAGGAAUCCAUCUGCAAUUCCCUCAAUAUACCGUGUUUCAGUUGCCCUUUCAAUAUCCUGCUGGUGAGUUUUGGGUCAAUAUUAAACUGGGAAGACAAAAACAUUUGCUAAAAUGCAACUAUCCAGGUGCUCAAAUUGGACCAGAGCCUACAAAAUAGAUUCAUUGUUGUUAUGAGUUUUAGGUCAUGGAAUCUUGCAUAAGUAAUUUCCUCUGAAACGAUUUGUUCCCAAACGACUUGGUCCCUCCUCCUACUUUUUGUGGAAGUUCACAUCACGCACAUCCACUGCAAGAGAAACCACUGCACGGAUCCUUUGGCGAAAGGACAUUGUUCCCAUUUUGAUUUUGUUAUUCACCCCCAUCCACGGCAUGUAUUAUACAUGUACCAACUUAUGGCAUACUCUUGGGGUAUUAUUUACCCCCGCCUUUGUAAUCCUUGUUAGUUUUUAA